UGGGGAAUAUUGCACAAUGGGCGAAAGCCUGAUGCAGCAACGCCGCGUGAGCGAUGAAGGCCUUUGGGUCGUAAAGCUCUGUCCUUGGGGAAGAAAAAAAUGACGGUACCCUUGGAGGAAGCCCCGGCUAACUACGUGCCAGCAGCCGCGGUAAUACGUAGGGGGCAAGCGUUAUCCGGAAUUAUUGGGCGUAAAGAGUGCGUAGGUGGUUUUGUAAGCGCGGGGUGAAAGGCAAUGGCUCAACUAUUGUAAGCCCUGCGAACUGCAAGACUUGAGUGCAGGAGAGGAAAGCGGAAUUCCUAGUGUAGCGGUGAAAUGCGUAGAUAUUAGGAGGAACACCAGUGGCGAAGGCGGCUUUCUGGACUGUAACUGACACUGAGGCACGAAAGCGUGGGGAGCAAACA
rnacentral:rRNA from 1 species